AGCGUAGGCGGAGGAAUAAGUUAGAAGUUUAAUGUACGGGCUUAACCCGUAAUCUGCUUCUAAUACUGUUUUUCUUGAGUAUGGGAGAGGGAGAUGGAAUUCCAGGUGUAGCGGUGGAAUGCGUAGAUAUCUGGAAGAACACCUGCGGCGAAGGCGGCUUCCUGGACCGUAACCGACGCUGAGGCGCGAAAGCUAGGGGAGCAAACAGGAUUAGAUACCCUGGUAGUCCUAGCCCUAAACGAUGAGCACUGGGUGUGGCCCCUCACGAGGCCGUGCCGAAGCUAACGCAUUAAGUGCUCCGCCUGGGGAGUACGGUCGCAAGGCUGAA
rnacentral:rRNA from 1 species